UCUUUUAUAGUUGAAUGUAAUAUUUUGAUGUUUUAAUAUCACAUUCCUUUCUGAUGUUCCAUAGCUUUACAAUGGAACUCAAAGUUAUUAAGAGGUCACACAUAACUUCAAUCUGUAUCUCAUUUUAGUUCUCUUAAUAUUCUUUUCAACUGGACAUCAAAUUGUGCAUUCAUAUUUAAUUUUUACUGACAUUAAUUUCAGGGUUGGCUUUAUAAAUAUUUUGAUAUGAGCGUCACUGAUGAGUCUUAUGAAGACAAAACGCUCGUCUGGCGUACUAAAUUAUAAUCCUGGUACCUUUGAUAACUAUUUCAAUAGUCAGGGAAAGCAUUUAACACAUUAAUGUUCAACUGAAAGCUUUUCAAGUCUAGACAAAUAUUGAAACAAUUUUAUGUAUAAAGGUUAAAAAAAAUUAUUAUGCAUGGGACUGUAGUUGAGUUUUAAGACAUUGAUUGAGAAUGAUAGAAAGAGUUGAUUGUACAGAAAAAUCUGUUGAUAGUUUUUGCUCAGAAUUGGCUAAAGUUGCUGAAUUUGUAUCCCAAAUAUACAUUUCAUCUGUUGAUAUUGCUGAACCAAUACUGAAACAAAUAUGAAAAGGAAAACAAGAACUACACCAUUUACAACAGUAGUAUCAUAUGCUUCUUUGCCUCUUUGUGUAGCUCAUUAUAAAGGAAAUGAUUAUUUGUUUAUUCCAUGUAGAUACAUAUAUGUAAGUAAACUGCUGUAGAAGGGAAAUAAGAAUCUCAUUUCUUUCAUGAAUAUGCAUUGUGUAAAUACAUUACAUAGAUGAUGUGAACAUUACUACCG
rnacentral:lncRNA from 1 species